UUUCCGUAGGUGGACCUGCGGAAGGAUCAUUCAUAAUAAGUGUUUUAUGGCACUUUUUUAAAUCCAUAUCCACCUUGUGUGCAAUGUCAGGGUUGAUGUUUCUCCCGAGAGGGUCAGCCCCAAACAACAACUAUAUCUCGACUCUAUGACUGAAAAAUGUUAUGACUAAAACAAUUCAAAUUAAAACUUUCAACAACGGAUCUCUUGGCUCUC
rnacentral:misc_RNA from 1 species